UUUCUGCAAACUGCUUAGAGGACGGUGAGUGCACACAUAUUUUUAAAAUUUGUCUAUAAGUCUGGCGCAGUGGUUAUAUAGUACUGGACUUGGACCUGGGAGGGACCUGGGUUGAAAUCCUCACUCAGCCACAAGCUCACCUUGGGAGCCAGUCGCCACACCUCUCAGCCUGACCCACCUCACAGGGGUAAAAUGAGGAGGGGUAGGAGAACCAGGCUUGCUGUCUUGAGCUCCUCGGAGAAAAAGGUAGUUCCGCAGGCACCCGUUGGGCAGGUACUCCAUGACCAACCGGAGAGAAUUUCGGCCUGAAGUUGGGGGGGAGACACAAAAGCACUUCUAAGCCGCUGGGACUCACCCGAAGUGAUGAUCUCGUUGAGGUCGCGAAGGAUGCUGCGGAAAGCGGGGCGCCUCCGAGGGUCGUAAUCCAGGCAUGGAGC